UGGACAUGUUACAAAAUUUUUCCAUAAGAAUGCAGUCAACUAUUAUCAAAUCAAUCACUAGAUGACCUUUUUAUAUCUUCCUUUUUACUCCUAUCAUUUGGGUUUAUUGUGACGACUGACAGGUGGCUGGUGGCAGAAAGCAUUCGACAGUAGCUAUCCAAAAUAAGCAACUUGUGUAUGGUUUUGAUUCGGACGAGCCCGGUGCAUCAGUGGGCCUUCUUCAGACAAACCCAGAUUAAAUCGGAUGAGAUAUCUCGCGGUGACAGUAGAACAGGAUGCAUAUUCGGAAGUCAGCACAUCAAGACUCGGAAACGUUUGUCGGUUCUUCCUUGCCGACGUCGGCUGCCUUGACUGAGCUGCUACCUGGACGCUUCCCGACUCUUCACUCGCUUCGACGACGACAAAGAUCCUAUCGUGCUGGAUCGUGGAUCGAAUCAUUCGUUCGGCUGAAGAAUAUCUCGGUUCUUUCGAAUGACCUGGCGCAACAACUCACAGAUCUCGUCCGGGAUCAACUCGCUUAUUCAAUCCCGCCAUUUUGGGAUCCAGCGAAGAAAACUUUUACUUCUCAGCUUAAUUUUUCAGUGUCGUACCAAAGGAGAUCGUUGUCCACCAUUCAACAACGGAUGCCACUGCUUCUAGUCAAUCUGCUGGACCGUAUUCCGGCUAAAAAAUUCAUUUCUCAGAUUUUUUGAUUGUUUGAAAUUGCCGUGAACUAGUAUGUUUGUUUUUUGUUUGUUUACUGCAAUUCGUCUUGUUGUGGAGCGCCUAGAGUAGCAUAUCCAUAUCUGAGUAAGUGUCAAACAGUUUGCGUAUUGGCACAGUCGAAGGUACUGGAGAAAGUCUGAUUGGCGGCGAUCGUGUGCCCAUGGCCAGUUUUAGUGGUGGUAAGUCAGAACGCUGCCUUAGUUGUUUCCAUUCAGGGUUCCCCAUCUGUCAUACCGGUCUGUUACAGCAGUAGUCAACGGCGUACAGCGAAUUUUUUAUAUCAA